UGGGGAAUCUUGCACAAUGGGGGAAACCCUGAUGCAGCGACGCCGCGUGAACGAUGAAGCCCUUCGGGGUGUAAAGUUCUUUCGACAGGAACGAUAAUGACGGUACCUGGAGAAGAAGCUGCGGCUAACUACGUGCCAGCAGCCGCGGUAAUACGUAGGCAGCGAGCGUUGUUCGGAGUUACUGGGCGUAAAGAGUGCGUAGGCGGCGAGCCAAGUUUGGUGUGAAAUCUCCCGGCUUAGCCGGGAGGGUGCGCCGAAAACUGGUUGGCUGGAGUAUGGGAGAGGAAAGCGGAAUUCCUGGUGUAGCGGUGAAAUGCGUAGAUAUCAGGAGGAACACCUGCGGUGUAGACAGCUUUCUGGACCAAAACUGACGCUGAGGCACGAAAGCGUGGGUAGCAAACA
rnacentral:rRNA from 1 species